UCCCUUAACAUAUUUGUCACAUAAACCCGACGAGGGGGAAAAAACCAAGUUAUGAGCAAAGAGAAACCAACAAAACAUAUCUUCCCGUGAAAAAGUCUAAACAUAAAGUCUUCCUCUUGAAGAUCUAAUGAAUUCCUCUUCAACCUAUUCAAAACCCAAGGCACCAUGCUUGUCUCUCAUUUUCCUUUUGAUUAAUGUAUUAGGCAUAUUGCAUUGAAAGAGUACAAGUGUAGCAAAAAAAAAAAAAAUGAUUAUUUAGCAAGACUAGUCAUCUAUGUAGUACCGACACUUCAGAUUGAAACCCGGUAUAUGUAGUUACAUUCAAUUCAAUUAUACCACUUUAUCAAAUUAUAAUUACCGGUUCAACAUGUCAAUUUCGCUUUGUGCUUCAUAACUAGCAAGUAAUCAAAUAAAAUAAAAUAAAAUCAAGCUAAUGUAAUCUUUC
rnacentral:lncRNA from 1 species